GCAAUGGUGGUGCAGUGGUAAAAUUCUCGCCUUCCACGCGGGAGACUCAGGUUCGAUUCCUGGCCAAUGCC